CUUGGUUUUACUUUUCUGUUCAGAAUACCCUUUUAUCAACUCCUUAGUUUUAUUUGAACUUAAGGGAAAAAAUUAGUAACAAAAUUCCCAGCAUCAGUAUGAACAUAUUUUAUUUGCCUAAACAAGCUUUGUGAAAGUUAAGCGUUCAAACACCAGUGUCAGUUACCUGGAAGGCUACUAAGGUAAAUAAGCAAAGCAGGCCAGUUGUCAGGAAAGCAGAGAUUGUGCCUGGUGCUGAAUGGCCUUGGGGCCUGAUCUUGGCAUGGCAGAGACCUGGGGACUGCCACUGUCCCCAGGUACGUGUACAUGGAGCCAAACUGUGUGUCCUGUGGCAUUGUCAGAGUUAUGUUGAAAUCUUAUUUGAAAAUGUUAGCAACUUACUUGCAUUUUUAAAGACCAAACAAGAGCUGGUAACCUAUGGCCUCAAGCAUCUGUCCUUCCUAAAAAUGGAAUAGUGGGAUGUAGUGCUUAAUGGAAACUGCUAAAUCUUUUUCUAAAAACUAACAGUGGAUUUUUAAAAUAUAUUGUUUUUUGUGUAUUUCAUUUGUCCUUUGUAUUUAUCUAAAAGGGUUGAUAUGAUUUUAUAUCUUGCUCUCUAUUCCUAAUAGUAUUAUGACUUCUUAUUUAAAAUAAAUAACAAUUGCCGGUUUUCUGUUAAUCAGUUUUCUUAAAGCCAGUGUUUCACUAUAGUGUAUGCAUCAGUGUGAAUUGUGACUUAGGAAGGGACACCUCAACAGUUCACAAAGUACCAGAAUGGAACUUGCAGAGAUAAUAGAAGGAAGUGUGGUGGUGAAAUUUGUAGAAAGA
rnacentral:lncRNA from 10 species